UUUUGCUACUUGGUACUUGGCUGUGUGGGUGUUGGAAUG
rnacentral:SRP_RNA from 1 species